rnacentral:rRNA from 1 species
GACGAACGCUGGCGGCGCGCCUAAUACAUGCAAGUCGAGCGAAUCUUUUGGGAGCUUGCUCCCGAAAGAUUAGCGGCGGACGGGUGAGUAACACGUGGGCAACCUGCCUAUAAGACUGGGAUAACUUCGGGAAACCGGAGCUAAUACCGGAUACGUUCUUUUCUCGCAUGAGAGAAGAUGGAAAGACGGUCUCGGCCGUCACUUAUAGAUGGGCCCGCGGCGCAUUAGCUAGUUGGUGGGGUAAUGGCUCACCAAGGAGCCAAUGCGUAGCCGACCGGAGAGGGUGAUCGGCCACACUGGGACUGAGAAACGGCCCAGACUCCUACGGGAGGCAGCAGUAGGGAAUCUUCCGCAAGGGACGAAAGUCUGACGGAGCAACGCCGCGUGAACGAAGAAGGCCUUCGGGUCGUAAAGUUCUGUUGUUAGGGAAGAACAAGUACCAGAGUAACUGCUGGUACCUUGACGGUACCUAACCAGAAAGCCACGGCUAACUUCGUGCCAGCAGCCGCCGUAAUAC